rnacentral:misc_RNA from 1 species
GGGUUCUUCACCAUGGAUCCCAAGCUCCCGAAGGCCGAAGCUAAGCCCGAGCCAUCAGCUCCAGCUCCUCGAUCCAUGGAUCCGAAGCCCGAGCCUGAAGGCUACAUCUGUGGAGAUUGUGGCGAGGAGACCAAGUUGAAGCCCAAUGAUUCGAUACAGUGCAGGGUUUGCGCUCACACCAUCCUCUACAAGAAGCGCACUCGCAGAAUUAUUGAAUUUCAGGCUCGCUGAUAUCGGGGGAGCUGAAGAGGAAGCUCUACAUGGAAAUGCGUUGAACGAAUCACAUAGUACUUGGUACUAACUUGACAAACUGUUUAGUGUUUAUGUUGUUUAAACAUUUAUGUCCGACUUAAACAUUAAACAAUUUAUGUCCG